rnacentral:rRNA from 1 species
GACGAACGCUGGCGGCGUGCUUAACACAUGCAAGUCGAACGGAAAGGCCCUGCUUUUGUGGGGUGCUCGAGUGGCGAACGGGUGAGUAACACGUGAGUAACCUGCCCUUGACUUUGGGAUAACUUCAGGAAAAUGGGGCUAAUACCGGAUAGGAGCUCCUGCUGCAUGGUGGGGGUUGGAAAGAUUCGGCGGUUGGGGAUGGACUCGCGGCUUAUCAGCUUGUUGGUGGGGUAGUGGCUUACCAAGGCUUUGACGGGUAGCCGGCCUGAGAGGGUGACCGGCCACAUUGGGACUGAGAUACGGCCCAGACUCCUACGGGAGGCAGCAGUGGGGAAUAUUGCACAAUGGGCGGAAGCCUGAUGCAGCAACGCCGCGUGCGGGAUGACGGCCUUCGGGUUGUAAACCGCUUUCGCCUGUGACGAAGCGUGAGUGACGGUAAUGGGUAAAGAAGCACCGGCUAACUACGUG